rnacentral:rRNA from 1 species
AUGUGUGGGAUUGAUUUUGACGAGGCAAGUUGUUCAUAUCGUUCUUGGCUUCUUGGUCCUGUUUAUUCACGUUUUCCUACCAUAGCUUCCAUUUUUCCGCCUCAACUACUUCUAUUUGAUUGGUUCCAGGACCCAAAAUCAAUGGUUAUUGAACAAAUUAAUUACGACUCCACUGAGAUUGAAGGUGAUCACACCUUGAUUGCUGGUGAUGAUAUGAUUCAGUCAAGAUGUGAUGAUGGUAGCUUUAUGGGCGAGAGUAUGUAUGAUGAUGGUAGCUUGGUACAAAGAAGGAGCUGUUGA